rnacentral:rRNA from 1 species
UGCGAGUGAAGCGGGAAAUUUCAAAUUUGACAUCUGGUGUCUUCUGGUUAUCCUUUUGUGAAUCUCUACAAGUGUUCCCCCGCUGGACCGGGUACAAAUCCCCUGUAACGGAGCGUCAUAAAGGGUGAGAAUCCCACCUUCCCCGUUCAUUUCCAGGGUCUUGUGAUGCACUCUCUGAGAGUCAAGUUGUGCGAAAACGGUGCUAAAAUUGGGGGGUAAAUUAUAUCUAUAGAAAACCGAUGGCGAGACACUGAAAUGAUCACAAGCUGAGUAAGGGAAUGAAGAAAAGAACUUUGGAAAGAGAAAUUAUUAAAACGUGUAAUCGAUGACCAGACAUCGGUUGAAAGCGAUCGCGUUCCUUCUGGACCAUGCAUUUUUUCCCCUCCGAGUACUCCCCGGUUGAUGGGUCAGGAUCAGUUCCGGCCGAUGGACUCCUGUCAGAGAAUUGUAUCCCCCUUCUGAAGUGUUAUACUUCUAGAUAACACACCACCCGCAGGGAUUGAGGAACUGAGCGCCGUACGGCUGUCUCAUGAUGCUGGCACACUGGCUUUGUUCCACCCUUCUCGAAUCUCGGACCUAGGAGUCUAACAUGCCUGCGAGUGUUUGAUGGGAACACCCGAGUGCGUAAUGA